UGAGGAAUAUUGGACAAUGGGUGCAAGCCUGAUCCAGCCAUCCCGCGUGUAGGAAGACGGCCCUAUGGGUUGUAAACUACUUUUAUCUGGGGAUAAACCUACUUACGUGUAAGUAGCUGAAGGUACCAGAUGAAUAAGCACCGGCUAACUCCGUGCCAGCAGCCGCGGUAAUACGGAGGGUGCAAGCGUUAUCCGGAUUUAUUGGGUUUAAAGGGUCCGUAGGCGGACUGAUAAGUCAGUGGUGAAAUCCGACAGCUUAACUGUCGAACUGCCAUUGAUACUGUUAGUCUUGAGUAAGGUUGAAGUGGCUGGAAUAAGUAGUGUAGCGGUGAAAUGCAUAGAUAUUACUUAGAACACCAAUUGCGAAGGCAGGUCACUAAGUCUUAACUGACGCUGAUGGACGAAAGCGUGGGGAGCGAACAG
rnacentral:rRNA from 1 species